UACGUAGGGGGCAAGCGUUGUCCGGAUUUAUUGGGCGUAAAGAGCGUGUAGGCGGCCAGACAGGUCCGUUGUGAAAACUCGAGGCUCAACCUCGAGACGCCGAUGGAAACCGUCUGGCUAGAAGUCCGGAAGAGGAGAGUGGAAUUCCGUGGUGUAGCGGUGAAAUGCGCAGAUAUCAGGAAGAACACCCGUGGCUAAGGCGGCUCUCUAGUACGGUACUGACGCUGAGACGCGAAAGCGUGGGGAGCGAACAGG
rnacentral:rRNA from 1 species